GGAUGCAGUUGCUGCGACAGUUGCGGCAACCGUUGCUGCUGCUGCCUCUGCUGUGGCUGUUGCUGCAACUUCUCGUUGCAAUUGCCUCAGUGGGAAAACGCGCGACGACGCAUACAAAUAACUAACUAACAGCGGCUGUAGUAAAAUGACAACUGAAACCGCAGCAGGCGAAAUGAAAACGAGUAACGAUAGAGCAAAAAAAAAAAAAAAAAAAAUGCAAAAAAAAGAAAAUAAAAUAGAAGAAACAAAUACAAGGCACACACACAAGCCACGGGCAAAAUAAAUAAAAUAAAAAUUGACGAUGGGCAGCGGCGGCGGCGACGACAACGACGACGGCGGCGGCGGCAAAACGCAGCUGCAGUUGGCUGGUUCUACGGGUCAGAGAUGCCAAAACGCUGAUGAUUUUGCCGGAAAAUCAGCGCACAGUUGGCUUUCACUCACGUUAUGUAACUGUUUAUAAAGGAAAUUCUUAGGCCAAUUUUGAGCAUCACGUUGGCUCCACUGUGCCCAGCAGCGUCGGCACUCAUAAUUGAGAUAUGAACUUGGCAAUAUUUCAUAAAAAAGAAAAUAUAUAUAUAAAAAGAGGCAGGCGAGAAGACUGGUCGGUCGGUCAGCCAGUUGGAGAGCCAAGGACCGAGGACGGCGAUCGCGGCUUGUUCGUCUAGAAAUAACUUAAUUGUCACUCAAUUACUCAGUUUUCAGCUAAAAGCAUUCAUUGCUCUGGCUUAACGUCAAAGUGGCUCAAAACGGCGCAAAACCGCAGGAGGGGAGGCUAAAACCCUGGACAGAGGAUGUGGAGCCAUCGUGGAGUUGGAGUUGGAGUUGCGGCCAAACUCGGAUAGGAACCCGUUGCCUAGGCGUGAAUAAUAGCUGCAAAGACGCGUCUUGGCCACGGCCGGUGAAUGAAAAUUGAUGAGUUGCGACAGUUUUUGGCCAAAGGGCAAAAUCACCCAGCGCAAGCAAAAAAAAAAACAAGAAUGGAAGGGAACAAGAAGGACUGACGUAAGACCGAAAACCGUAAUGCUCUGCAGGUUUUCAAGUAGUGCAAUAAUAUUGUGCCUAACGUAAUACCCUUUCAGAGGUCAUUGCAAAUGGUAAAUACCCUAAAACGGAUAAGGGAACGUUCCUUAAACGCGUAAAGGCGAACUGAAUCGGAGGGACGAGGCGAAGUAAUGGACAAACUACUUUGUCAUGGUCUCGGGACUUUGGGACUUUGGGAUUGGCCAUCUCAAUGCAACUAUCAAUCAAAUCGCUCGUGUGGGUGACCAUUUGCGGCUGAAACUGAAAGAAGGCACUACAGAAAGUCAAGCAAUCCCUGAUUGACAUAAAUGCAUGCAUUCAUUUUGAUCGUGGCCCACGAUGAUUGAACUUUGCUAAUGAGCCAUAUUGACCCCAAGGAACUGAGGGCUUUUCCAUAAGAGAAACUUAAAACUCGACUGAUUGAUUGACUUGCAUGGUAGAAAGCCCCAUUAUUUAGAUAGAAUUUGUGCAUUUAAUGUAAGCUGGAUAAGGGAAUAUAUUGUGCUCUUUGAAUGCUCAAUUUAUGAUUGACACUAAACGCAUUUGAACGCGAUGAUUGAUUGGUUGAUUGAACAGACAAGGAUAUAAUGCUUAGGGUUUAAAUUCAAGCAACUAUUAAACAUGCGUAGUUAUUUGCCAUGAAUAUCCAACUUUAUUUUCGAUCUUUUUGAUUAAUGCUCCCAUUGAAAUCACCUUUUUGCUGCACUCAUUUGGCUCGCAACAUAAUUACCAACAUUUAGUGCGCCUUCCAUCAUAAUUGAUGCCGUUUUGGAGGGCCUGCCAGUGCAGAAAGUGCGCCUUGAAAACGGAGUCCACCCGCAGCCUCUCCUUGCGCCCACAGGCCUGCCAUAAAUCGCCAUAAAUCCUAAUCAAAACUA